rnacentral:rRNA from 1 species
GAUGAACGCUGGCGGCGUGCCUAAUACAUGCAAGUCGAGCGAAUGGAUUGAGAGCUUGCUCUUAUGAAGUUAGCGGCGGACGGGUGAGUAACACGUGGGUAACCUGCCCAUAAGACUGGGAUAACUCCGGGAAACCGGGGCUAAUACCGGAUAACAUUUUGAACCGCAUGGUUCGAAAUUGAAAGGCGGCUUGGCUGUCACUUAUGGAUGGACCCGCGUCGCAUUAGCUAGUUGGUGAGGCAACGGCUCACCAAGGCAACGAUGCGUAGCCGACCUGAGAGGGUGAUCGGCCACACUGGGACUGAGACACGGCCCAGACUCCUACGGGAGGCAGCAGUAGGGAAUCUUCCGCAAUGGACGAAAGUCUGACGGAGCAACGCCGCGUGAGUGAUGAGGGCUUUCGGGUCGUAAAACUCUGUUGUUAGGGAAGAACAAGUGCUAGUUGAAUAAGCUGGCACCUUGACGGUACCUAACCAGAAAGCCACGGCUAACUACGUGCCAGCAGCCGCAGUAA